GACGAACGCUGGCGGCGUGCUUAACACAUGCAAGUCGAACGGAAAGGCCCUGCUUUUGUGGGGUGCUCGAGUGGCGAACGGGUGAGUAACACGUGAGUAACCUGCCCUUGACUUUGGGAUAACUUCAGGAAACUGGGGCUAAUACCGGAUAGGAGCUCCUGCUGCAUGGUGGGGGUUGGAAAGUUUCGGCGGUUGGGGAUGGACUCGCGGCUUAUCAGCUUGUUGGUGGGGUAGUGGCUUACCAAGGCUUUGACGGGUAGCCGGCCUGAGAGGGUGACCGACCACAUUGGGACUGAGAUACGGCCCAGACUCCUACGGGAGGCAGCAGUGGGGAAUAUGGCACAAUGGGCGGAAGCCUGAUGCAGCAACGCCGCGUGCGGGAUGACGGCCUUCGGGUUGUAAACCGCUUUCGCCUGUGACGAAGCGUGAGUGACGGUAAUGGGUAAAGAAGCACCGGCUAACUACGU
rnacentral:rRNA from 1 species